rfam:Legionella sp. LEGN contig_36, whole genome shotgun sequence.
AGAGUUGGUCAGGCAAUCGCUCCUUGCAAAAGCAAGGGGAGGAAAGUCCGGGCUCCAAAGGGCAGAGUGCCAGGUAACGCCUGGGAGAUGUGAAUCUACGGAAAGUGCCACAGAAAAUAUACCGCCCGCUUGCGGGUAAGGGUGAAAUGGUGCGGUAAGAGCGCACCGCGCGAUUGGUAACAAUCGUGGCAGGGAAAACCCCACUCGGAGCAAGACCAAAUAGGAAUCCAUUUGGCUGCAAAGCCAUAACGUAUGGCCCAUACGGGAUUCGGGUAGGUCGCUUGAGGCAUACGGUGACGUAUGUCCCAGAUGAAUGAUUGCCCGCGACAGAACCCGGCUUAUCGACCGACUCUUUCA